rnacentral:rRNA from 1 species
GACGAACGCUGGCGGCGUGCUUAACACAUGCAAGUCGAACGGAAAGGCCCUGCUUUUGUGGGGUGCUCGAGUGGCGAACGGGUGAGUAACACGUGAGUAACCUGCCCUUGACUUUGGGAUAACUUCAGGAAACUGGGGCUAAUACCGGAUAGGAGCUCCUGCUGCAUGGUGGGGGUUGGAAAGUUUCGGCGGUUGGGGAUGGACUCGCGGCUUAUCAGCUUGUGGGUGGGGUAGUGGCUUACCAAGGCUUUGACGGGUAGCCGGCCUGAGAGGGUGACCGGCCACAUUGGGACUGCGAUACGGCCCAGACUCCUACGGGAGGCAGCAGUGGGGAAUAUUGCACAAUGGGCGGAAGCCUGAUGCAGCAACGCCGCGUGCGGGAUGACGGCCUUCGGGUUGUAAACCGCUUUCGCCUGUGACGAAGCGUGAGUGACGGUAAUGGGUAAAGAAGCACCGGCUAACUACGUG